rnacentral:rRNA from 1 species
CCUACGGGAGGCAGCAGUGGGGAAUAUUGCACAAUGGGGGAAACCCUGAUGCAGCGACGCCGCGUGAGUGAAGAAGUAAUUCGGUAUGUAAAGCUCUAUCAGCAGGGAAGAAAAUGACGGUACCUGAGUAAGAAGCCCCGGCUAACUACGUGCCAGCAGCCGCGGUAAUACGUAGGGGGCAAGCGUUAUCCGGAUUUACUGGGUGUAAAGGGAGCGUAGACGGCAGUACAAGUCUGGAGUGAAAGGCGGGGGCUCAACCCCCGGACUGCUCUGGAAACUGUGCGGCUGGAGUGCAGGAGAGGUAAAUGGAAUUCCUAGUGUAGCGGUGAAAUGCGUAGAUAUUAGGAGGAACACCAGUGGCGAAGGCGGCUUACUGGACUGUAACUGACGUUGAGGCUCGAAAGCGUGGGGAGCAAACAGGAUUAGAUACCCUAGUAGUC